rnacentral:rRNA from 1 species
AGAGUUUGAUCCUGGCUCAGAGUGAACGCUGGCGGCAGGCCUAACACAUGCAAGUCGAACGGCAGCACAGCAGUAGCAAUACUGUGGGUGGCGAGUGGCGGACGGGUGAGGAAUGCGUCGGAAUCUGCCUUUUUGUGGGGGAUAACGUAGGGAAACUUACGCUAAUACCGCAUACGACCUACGGGUGAAAGUGGGGGACCUUCGGGCCUCACGCAGAAAGAUGAGCCGACGCCGGAUUAGCUAGUUGGCGGGGUAAAGGCCCACCAAGGCGACGAUCCGUAGCUGGUCUGAGAGGAUGAUCAGCCACACUGGGACUGAGACACGGCCCAGACUCCUACGGGGGGCAGCAGUGGGGAAUAUUGGACAAUGGGCGCAAGCCUGAUCCAGCCAUGCCGCGUGUGUGAAGAAGGCCUUCGGGUUGUAAAGCACUUUUGUCCGGAAAGAAAAGCUUCGGGUUAAUAACCUGGAGUCAUGACGGUACCGGAA